rnacentral:pre_miRNA from 1 species
AGCCUUCUAUAUCCGUGCUGAGAUUUCGUCACACACCAAACCACAAAAGCUGAUGAUACUUCCAAGAUAAGUGAAGCG